UUAAGGUCACAUGUGUAAAGCAAUUCUUGUGUCGUUUAGAAUCGAAAAAGGAUGAAUUUUUGUUUCUCUUAGCGAAUCUCUGCCACAAUAGAAACCAACCAAAAGGAAUAUCUUUAACCAAGUCUUCCAGAAAGAACAUUUGCUCCGGGUGGAUGAAUUUGGAGACUGUUGACCGCUUUUGAAAGAUGGAGACAAAGAAAGUGAGAGAGCAUUCUGCCAUAUCCAUCCAACAUUGUGUUCAAGAACAAAUUAAUGCUAUAGCUCUUAAUAAAUAUGCUAAUCAGGUUGUUAUUGUAGGACGUCAAGUAUUCAAAAUAUUUUCAAUUGGAGAAGAGAAUUUUGAAGA